UGGUGUCAGCGGCUCUGAGGAACCCGGACUGUAAAAUACAGAGACUGCGGCUGGACGAUGUCAGACUCACAGAUUCUGGAGCCGAGGAUCUCGUCUCCGCUCUCAGUACAAAGCCCUCACUGACGGAGCUGCACCUGGCACACAACUGCCUCACAGACCGAUGUGUCCCCGCUCUCAG